rnacentral:lncRNA from 1 species
UUUUUGAAAUCCAAUUUAAAUCUUCCAAAAGUAAUUCCAAACCACCCUAAGUGAAAUGGGCGUAGAUUUUUUUUUUUUUUAAUUAAAAACAAACGUUACCAUGUUCGGGCUUAUCUUCUUAUCAUCUGGGCUCAACUUGGAGGACUAGUCCACUCAGAUUUAGACUCCUCAAUCAUCAAUCACGUGCCCUUUUGCUUUCUGAAAUAUUCACUUAUUAAGUAAUUGAAUAUAAUUCGGAUUAAUUCCCUAAAUUUAUAUAAAAAUUCAAAAUAGCAUGGAUGUAAUUGCAAGUUAACUGAGAACGUUAGCAACGAAUUGAUGGUUUCCAUUGAAUAUUUUUUUAAAAAAAAAAAUUAUGAUACCGCCAUCAAUCAUCAUAUAUAUUAAGUUUUUAAUUUGGAAAAUAAGAACAUGAAGGUCAUGUGGUACAAGAUCGUUCCAUUACCUGAAAGUUAAGAUGGAAAGAAACAAGGCAUUCGUUGGCCAUGUGAAGCUGCAGCCAUAUAAAUACGCCAAUUUAUUAAAUGCAGCUUACCAAUAUGGACCAAUCUAAACAUAGGGGAAUCACUUGCCCUAAGUUUUAUUAAAUCUAUACGGGCAGCCAAGCUAGACGUUUCCAAGCAAGGAUUAAAGAAAGCCCAGGCCCAGGCAUGCCUUAGGUCCCUUUUAUUUAUUAAUUGUCUUCCUAAAAAUUUUAAAAAAAAGAACAAAAAAUCUUAUUUAGUUUUGAAUGUUUAACUACUUGUUAGUUGGGAAAACCAAAAUCCAAUCAUCAGAUGGUAAACCAAUUUCCUUGCUGCAUAUAUUGGCAAAGUUUUGAGUUCCCAAAUAUAUAUCCAGAUUGCAAAAUUAUAAAAUUGAUAUCUGAGGAAUUGAACUAUUAAUAGAUCUUUUAAUUAUAAAAAUUUCGGUAGAAUUGAAAUACAUCGUUUUUAAAAAAAAAUAUUGAGCGUUUUUGCUUCAUUGGUGGUAUUUUGCUUUCAAAUAAGGCCUCCAUAUAUAAUAGAUAUUGAAGAAUUCACCAUUGAUACGGCAGAUAUUCCCUUAAUAAAAGAAAACAAAAUUUUUAUUUAUUUAUGCCGUGAUCCAUACUUUUCAUACUCUUUGUUCGAUUGUCUCCAUAAUUGCAGGAGACAAUGGCUACGGUAGAGCUGUUCUAUUAUGGAGUACAAAUGAUAACCGUCAGAUCAUAUCAGUAAAUAUAAAUUUAUUAUUUAUUUUUAUAACCGUACGGUUAUGAUCAGUGCUCCACCGUGAAGCAGUUUCAAUAUAAUCGGACCCUUAAUUAAUUAAUUAAACAUGCAUGUUUAUAUCAUCAGCAUAACUCACGAGAGACGCAUGAUUCAAGAUUCAACAACCCUAGCUUGGCUGGCUCGUCCUUAUCCCUCCUCAAUCAUGAUUUCGUGGCUAUGCUGAUAUAAAUACGAAAAUAAAAUAGGUAAGAAUUGCAGCCCGCAGUAAAUUUAUUUUAUGCAGUUUUAAUUAGGGUUUUGUUGGAGCCACAAUAAAUACUUGUUCAAUUCAGUCACAUAAAAUUAAUGCAUGCAUGUAUAUAGAAGGUUUUUCAUGCUGACGUGACCAACUCCCCGCUUGCUUACGUCAACAAAACUUUAGCAGCCAAGCCCUAAAGGGAUUUGAGAACUGCACGUAGGUCUCUUUUUGGUUUUUGUUUUAUUUUUUGAGACGCUCUUUUUGGUUCAUUAUUAUUAUUAUUAUUUUGGGUUUAAGGGAGUAAAAAAUAAUGAUUACUUCAUUAGAUUUGAUAAACGAUCAAUCCCACCUAGUGUUUGCGAAAUUAACAAUUUUCCCUUAUAUGUUAAAACCACCAAAAUUUCCUCGACAUUAACAAUAUUAUAUAUAUAUAUAUAUUUGGCUUCAAAUUUAGUGUUAAAGUUCAUUAGACUUUCAACUAUUAGAUUUAUCUAUUAAAAAAAAAAUGAAGUGCCGUUCAAAAAGUGCAUUGAACUAUUUAACGUUGUAAAGUUUAAGGAGUUCUUAUGGAUUUUGAAACAUAGCUGUCAAUACUUAUGGUUAAUUAAGAAGAUAAAUUUCAGACAACUUUCAAUUCUUUAGCUAAUUUGAAAAUACGAGUUAAGUUCAUGAGCUUGUAUUUUUUUUUUUAAAGAUAAUUUCUCUAAUAAAAUUUCCUUAGUCAAAUUCAACUGGCUCAGUUGUAAGAGACUAAUUGUCAAUCAAGCCCGAUACCUAUCAUCAUUAUAUUGUCAUGCACCACCUAUAAAUAAUUCUUAUGAUUUUACCUCACGUGUUUAUUGAAAAUAAGAGUAGAAUUCCACUCUUGAUGAAGUAAUAUUUCAUUUUUUUAAUCUUGAUUUAGGGUGUGUUUAUUUCUUGAAUUGAGAAUCAAAAUCAUAAAUAAUGUAUACUUCACAAAAUAAGAAUCCGCAAAUAUUGGAAUCAUUCCCAUAUAUUUGAUUUGUAAGGAGGAGGGGAUUGGGAAUCAGACUCCAAUAUUUAGAACUAUCCAUUUUGCUCCCAUUAAAUUUUCAUGAACCCCAAAUUACCCUCAAUUAUGUUCUGUCAUUUUACAUUGUGGUCCCUACAUGAUUAAUGAAAAAUACCAAAGAAUUUUGCAUUAUUUUCAAAUAGGUCCUUUAUUACUACUACCACUGCUAUUAUUUAUGUCAUUAUUAUUAUAUUAACGUUAUUGUUAUUAAAAUUUAAAAUGUUGCCAUCAUCAUCAUCAUCAUCAUCAUCAUUAAUUAUCAUUAUCAUCAUCAUAUAUAUU